CCCGCCUCCAUGCACCGCCUCCAGCCACACCCUACACAAUCUUUAGACACAAGGAACAAAAGUGCAAUAAUCCCUUCGAGGCCACAGUAGAGACUUCAAUUAAGGGCUAAUGAGCCAUGGAGGGGGGUCUUUCUAGCAGAGGCUAUCUCAGUGUCCUUUAGAGAGUGUGUUAGAAAGAAUCUCCUCCAAGCCCCAUUAGAGACUACAAUGGAUUCUAAUAGGCUUGAA